AAUCGUCUGCUUAAAGAAGGGAAACUAUUAGGAGGAAAAGCUUCUCAGUGAGGAGCAGGGGGAGAAGAGAUGAAGUACAGAUGCGUACAGUGUGGAUUUGGAAUCAAAACACUGUUUGUGCAAUACUCCCCGGGAAACAUUCGACUCAUGAAAUGCGAGAAUUGCAAAGCAAUUGCAGACGAGUAUAUAGAAUGUGAACUCAUGAUUAUUCUGAUUGAUCUAAUUCUGCACAAGCCAAAGGCGUAUAGACAUCUUCUUUAUAAUGUGCUUAAUCAACAAACUGUAGAAUUAGAGGGCUUGUUGUGGAAGUCUACCGUCACUUUUCUUCUUUUUGAUGCUUAUAGAAGUCUUCUUUUGCUGCGAAAUAAGGAAGAGCAGAGUUCUGCCUUGAGCUUUCCUUCAUUGGUUUGGAGAUCGCAACAGAUAUUCAUGGAUGUCUUUGUUGGAAACCUUAUAUUCCUUUGCGUUUUUGUUCUCGCAACAAGGGUUUUACUGAAGAUUUCAGUUGGAUUCUCCAGUUGUGGAGAUAUGUUGCUUGCAAUCCUUGUUUCAAGUUACUUCAAGAUGUUUCUCGUUGCCAUGAUGGUCUGGGAAUUUCCAUCUUCUGUGAUUUUCAUAAUUGAUUUAUUCGUUUUAUCUUCCAAUGUAGUAGCGAUAAAAGGUCAGCUACCAAUGUAUUUACUUAGACUUAUGAAUUUUCUGUACCCUAGAUUUGACAAUGUUGUCUUACCAGUUGAUAUUUCUAUGUUAUGCUUCUCUUUCUCGACACAAAAAGGAUUGUUAACAUGUGUGACUGUUUUGUCUACUUCUGUGCUGCAAGCUUGGAUUGCAAAUUGAUCUGUUGCGUGAUCCUGAUAAUGUUUUCUGAAUAUGGAUUUUGAAUUCUAGAAAUAUUGCAGUCAAUUCCAUUUGUAGCAUAUGACAUGCAUGUUGUAUACAUUAGAUUUAAAUAUGUUUGUCAUAUUUCUCUCAGUAUAGAGUUUUUCUCACACAAUUGAAUGGAUUAGGUAAAUAUUUUCAUUAGAAUAUAGUAUGAAAGCAUUCUAGUAAUUUUAAUUCCCAUAUUAGUUGUUUCUGUUCUCAAUUCUUAAUUCCUUAGUUUCCUAUCUAUGUUUAUAUGGUCCACAGAUUUCUUUAUGAACUCUGUUGUGCUCCCAUUGAAAAUAAUAUAGUACGUUGUACUGGAGGUCAUUGAACGUGUCUAUUAGUUUGCCGUGGGGCUGAAGUUGCCAAACUUUUGUUUGCAUUUCUUCAGUUGGUUACAGAUUUUUCCUCUUCUUUUUUCCUUUUUUUUUUUUGACAAGCAUUGAACUUUGCAAUAGUGUUUCAUUCUGGUCCCCCAUCAGACUGAAAAACCUUCAACAGAAUUCUGAUGUGGCGACCACAUAACCUUGUGGACAAAAUGGCUGGAAAACCUUCCAAAAGGAAGCACUAGUGUUUCUAAAGCAAAUGAAAUUCAGGAGGAAAAGGCCGCAGCAUUCUUUAUUUCUCAAGGCAGAACAACCUCAUAAGCAGAGGAACUUGCAGGAUGUGAAAGGAGCUCAUGGAAUUAGCAGCUGAAAGAAGUCAACUGCAGUGAAUGGCAUAUGCUUCCUUUUGGCUAGGAUCUCAUUGGACAUACAAUCGGACUGUGUUGAAGCACUAUUGCAAAGUUCAGUGCAUUAAUUCAAACAAAUUAAAGUUGGAUAACGAUAGGGAAGUCAAGGAAACAUGGUCUGUUGCAAUUGAUCUGAAAUAGUUGGUAGAAUGUGUUUGUGAGCAUAUGAUUAGCCAUGGUUGAAAUGGUUUGGAAAGCUUAAAUGGAUGUAUCAGACCUUCUGAUGGACAUUUUUUUCCUACUUGAAACAGUGUUUACUGGGUCAGCUACGAGUAAAUGCAUUGGGGCCUGCUUCUGUGCACAUGCCUUGAAGUUGCUCGCCACUCAGGUGCCCUUGCUGCAAUACCAUCAAGUCUUAACACUGAAACAUCUGUGAUAAGUAGACUGCAUCAACUCACAUAGUAGUUUCAAUUCAACAGUGAGGUUCAGGACAUUAUAGGAAUUUUCAAGUACCAAGUGGUACUCAAUGCAUCACUGGGUAGACUCCUAAGGCAUAACAAGGGCAGUUCUCGCUUGUGUUUGGAUGUGCCCAACAAAUUUGCUCUGCAUUAGACUCCCUUUUGCAGUUGCUCCAUUUUCUGCUGUGACGUUGCUAGAUUUUGGGUGAUGUCGUUCGGGAUCGAUCCAUUCUAAGAUGAUGUCUUGUUCCAAUAGCAAACUAGCCAAAACUGAAGUCUUGAAACUCAAAAGGGCUCGGGUUGAAUUUCGCUCAUGUUCAGUUACAUUUCCCAUUCCUUUUGUUAACUUGUUAUUUGUCCAUAAUAUUCUUUAGCUUUUGCUAACUCUAAAAUUGAUUUUAUAACACGAUAAAAAGAAAAGAUGUCCAAGUCUCCGUGAUGCGGUUACUGAUAGUGAAAUAUGAGCAGUACACGAUGAGGACUAAGCUCUUGUUCUUGACU